AUUGAACGCUGGCGGCAGGCCUAACACAUGCAAGUCGAGCGAGCGGCGGACGGGUGAGUCAUGUCUGGCAAACUGCCUGAUGGCGGGGGAUAACUCCUGGAAACGGUAGCUAAUACCGCAUACCAUCAGACGUGCCCAGAUGGGAUUAGCUAGUCGGUGGGGUAACGGCUCACCUAGGCGACGAUCCCUAGCUGGUCUGAGAGGAUGACCAGCCACGCUGGAACUGAGACACGUGCCAGACUCCGACGGGAUGCAGCAGUGGGGAAGAUGGCACAAUGGGAGCAAGCCUGAUGCAGCCAUGCCGCGUGGGUGAAGAAGGCCUUCGGGUUUUAAAGCACUCUCAGCGGGGAGGCGUUACCCGCAGAAGAAGCACCGGCUAACUCCGUGCCAGCAGCCGCGGUAAUUC
rnacentral:rRNA from 1 species